GUUCGAUCUUAUUUUGUUGUGAUCAAUUGAUAUACAUAAUAUGCACUAUAAAUUUGUUAAAUUGUUGGAUUAUUUGCUUUUUUAAUAAGGUUGGAGGAACCUCAAGGUACGUUUUGUUAAAGCAUAUUUUAUAUUGAUAAAUUUGAAGUUGUCAAGUCUAUAACAAUGAUAAUGUUAAUACGAGUAAAUUUAUAGCAAAUUUAGUUGACUUAACUUAUUUACAUGCUGGUUGCUCGGACUCUUGGAAAAACCUUACGUGCAUUUUAACCCACGAUAAGAGGACUUAAGGACGUUUCUAGAGAAUGCAAGACCAUGUUUGAGUGAGAAAUUGGUCUCGAUGAAAUUGAGAGUUCAAUGAACAGCACAUACAAUGCAAGUAAAUCUACCUACUCAAACCCAUCUUCUAUUUCUAAAGCAGAAGGGCUUUCGGUGGCUGAAACAAGUGAGUGAUUAAGUUUUUUAUCACCCGUAUUAUUUGUUAUCACUAGGGAAAGAAAGCUGAGUAGAAAAAGUAGAAUGCCAAAUG